AGACAGUUUCUUUCCCGAGGCCAUGGCUGCUACUCCGGGUCAUCUCUUGGACCAGCCGGCAACACAUUCUCCAGCAGCCGCCAUCUCGCACGGCAGCAGCGUGGACAAAGGUCUCCGUGUAGAGGGAGGAUGCCGGCUUCUUUCCCCACAGCUCUUACAUCUCCCUUCUCCCCCAGGUGACAAAGAAACCCAAGGACUACCUCCUUCCAUUGUCAUAGAAUUCCCCGCACUGAGGCCUUCUUGUCUUCAGCCUGUCCAGCCCUUCCAGACAUGGCCAAACUGAGGGCUGGAUGUGCUUGUGUAUUUCCUUUCAGACGAGCCCUCAUAGAGCACCCGCUCACCCCUUCCUUCCCUCUGCACUCCCUCUGCCUCCCUUUUCUCUGUUCUCUUUCUGUGCCCAGGCACCAGAGCAAAUUGCUUUUUGCUUUCUCCUGGCACUACCAGUCCCAGCCCUGAGUUCAGGAAUUAUUUUCUCUCUUUUUUCUUUUUUUUUUUUUUUUUGAGAUGGAGACUCGCUCUGUCGCUGAGGCUGGAGUGCAAUGGCACUAUCUCAGCUUGCUGCAGCCUCCGCCUCCCAGGUUCAAGUGAUUCUCAUGACUUAGCCUCCUGAGUAGCUGGGACUGCAGGCAUGCGCCACCACAUCUGGCUAAUUUUUGUAUUUUUAGUAGAGACGGGGUUUUGCCAUGUUGGCCAGACUGGUCUUGAAUUCCUGACCUCAGUGAUCUGCCCACCUUGGCCUCCAAAGUGCUGGGAGUACAGGAGUGAGCCACUGCAGCCAGCCACUCUCUUUUGUUAAAAGACUGGGUCUCACGAUGUCGCCUAGGCUGGAUUUGAACUCUUGGGCUCAAGCGAUCCACCUGCCUCAGCCUCCUGAGUAGCUUGGAUUACAGAUGUGCAGCAGUGUGCCGACCCCAGAAUUCUUUCCUCUUGUGUCUGACACGAAGUUCAGACGCAGUGGGGGGUGGAAGUGUUUUUUGCUGGGGCACCUGUAAAGGGACGGUGAUGCAAGGGAGUGAGCACUGGAAUGAGAGUCCAAAGACCUGAGUGUGACCGCCCCACACCCUGAUAUGCUGUGUAUCCUACAGCACAUCACACCAGCACCUCACUCUGUCGUGGCCCCUUGAAGCUCCCUCACUCCAAAUUUGUUGCUCAAAGCAUAUCCAAGCCCAAGGGGUGUGGUGCCUAUCCCCAUCUUCCUGCGUUUCUAGUCUAAGGACAAAGACCCAGCCCUCUCCUACUCUCCCCAGUGGUACAGACCACCAUUGAUAAAGAGAUAUCAAAUG
rnacentral:lncRNA from 13 species